UGCUUAUAGAGAAAGAUGGAGGGAUUAGACCCUGCGAAGUCUUGGCAACCUGUGCUUACAAGGUGCUACAUUCUACAGGAAAUGCAGCUGUACUUCCUGACAGAUAAGUG
rnacentral:ncRNA from 22 species